AGAGUUUGAUCCUGGCUCAGGACGAACGCUGGCGGCGUGCUUAACACAUGCAAGUCGAACGGAAAGGCCCUUCGGGGUACUCGAGUGGCGAACGGGUGAGUAACACGUGGGUGAUCUGCCCUGCACUCUGGGAUAAGCCUGGGAAACUGGGUCUAAUACCGGAUAGGACCGCAUGCUUCAUGGUGUGUGGUGCAAAGCUUUUGCGGUGUGGGAUGAGCCCGCGGCCUAUCAGCUUGUUGGUGGGGUAAUGGCCUACCAAGGCGACGACGGGUAGCCGGCCUGAGAGGGUGACCGGCCACACUGGGACUGAGAUACGGCCCAGACUCCUACGGGAGGCAGCAGUGGGGAAUAUUGCACAAUGGGCGCAAGCCUGAUGCAGCGACGCCGCGUGAGGGAUGACGGCCUUCGGGUUGUAAACCUCUUUCAGUAGGGACGAAGCGAAAGUGACGGUACCUACAGAAGAAGGACCGGCCAACUACGUGCCAGCAGCCGCGGUAAUACGUAGGGUCCGAGCGUUGUCCGGAAUUACUGGGCGUAAAGAGCUCGUAGGUGGUUUGUCGCGUUGUUCGUGAAAACUCACAGCUUAACCGUGGGCGUGCGGGCGAUACGGGCAGACUAGAGUACUGCAGGGGAGACUGGAAUUCCUGGUGUAGCGGUGGAAUGCGCAGAUAUCAGGAGGAACACCGGUGGCGAAGGCGGGUCUCUGGGCAGUAACUGACGCUGAGGAGCGAAAGCGUGGGUAGCGAACAGGAUUAGAUACCCUGGUAGUCCAA
rnacentral:rRNA from 1 species